rnacentral:rRNA from 1 species
AGAGUUUGAUCCUGGCUCAGAUUGAACGCUGGCGGUAUGCUUAACACAUGCAAGUCGAACGGAAACGAUACUAGCUUGCUAGUAGGCGUCGAGUGGCGGACGGGUGAGUAACGCGUAGGAAUCUGCCUGAUAGUGGGGGAUAGCCCGAAGAAAUUCGGAUUAAUACCGCAUAAUCUAUUCGUAGUAAAGUGGGGGACUUUCGAGCCUCACGCUAUCAGAUGAGCCUGCGUAAGAUUAGCUAGUUGGUAGGGUAAAAGCCUACCAAGGCAACGAUCUUUAGCUGGUCUGAGAGGAUGAUCAGCCACAUCGGGACUGAGACACGGCCCGAACUCCUACGGGAGGCAGCAGUGGGGAAUAUUGGACAAUGGGGGCAACCCUGAUCCAGCAAUACCGCGUGUGUGAAGAAGGCCUGAGGGUUGUAAAGCACUUUCAAUUGUGAAGAAAAGUUAACGGUUAAUAACCGUUAGCCUUGACGUUAACUUUAGAAGAAGCACCGGCUAACUCCGUGCCAGCAGCCGCGGUAAUACGGAGGGUGCAAGCGUUAAUCGGAAUUACUGGGCGUAAAGCGUGCGUAGGCGGUUUAUUAAGUCAGAUGUGAAAGCCCCGGGCUUAACCUGGGAACUGCAUUUGAAACUGGUCAACUAGAGUAUGGUAGAGGAAAGUGGAAUUUCUGGUGUAGCGGUGAAAUGCGUAGAUAUCAGAAGGAACAUCAAUGGCGAAGGCAGCUUUCUGGACCAAUACUGACGCUGAGGUACGAAAGCGUGGGUAGCAAACAGGAUUAGAUACCCUGGUAGUCCACGCCGUAAACGAUGAUAACUAGCCGUUGGGGGGGAUUUACCCUUUAGUGGCGAAGCUAACGCGUUAAGUUAUCCGCCUGGGGAGUACGGCCGCAAGGUUAAAACUCAAAGGAAUUGACGGGGACCCGCACAAGCGGUGGAGCAUGUGGUUUAAUUCGAUGCAACGCGAAGAACCUUACCUGGUCUUGACAUCCUGCGAACUUUCUAGAAAUAGAUUGGUGCCUUCGGGAACGCAGUGACAGGUGCUGCAUGGCUGUCGUCAGCUCGUGUCGUGAGAUGUUGGGUUAAGUCCCGUAACGAGCGCAACCCCUAUCCUUAUUUGCCAGCACGUCAUGGUGGGAACUAUAAGGAGACUGCCGGUGAUAAACCGGAGGAAGGCGGGGACGACGUCAAGUCAUCAUGGCCCUUACGACCAGGGCUACACACGUGCUACAAUGGGAAGGACAAAGAGCCGCGAAGCCGCGAGGUGUAGCUAAUCUCAGAAACCUUUUCGUAGUCCGGAUUGGAGUCUGCAACUCGACUCCAUGAAGUCGGAAUCGCUAGUAAUCGUAGAUCAGAACGCUACGGUGAAUACGUUCCCGGGUCUUGUACACACCGCCCGUCAUACCAUGGGAGUGGGUUGCACCAGAAGUGGCUAGUCUAACUUAGUGAGGACGGUCACCACGGUGUGAUUCAUGACUGGGGUAAAGUCGUAACAAGGUAACC